UGUGCUGUAAAUCUGAUGCUGGGCGUGUGGUGCUUUUAUGUUUUUAACAGGGCUUCUUUCAACUUAAUUUACGAGACUUCGUCUCUUGUGUAGGAGAAUUGCUUGUUUUGGUGUUUCACAAAAGACGAUCUGAGUAUUUGUGCCACCAUGGGUUUCAAACUGUGCCCUAGAUGAAAUAUGAUGUAACAUUUGGGGGCUUGUCUGAGAUCGAGUGCCUGGACAGGUUCUCCCAGGUCAUGCCAGAGAUGGGUUAAAUGUGGAGGUGAAUUUCCCUGUUUGCGAAGAUGAGGCCCUGAGAAUGUUGGGAUUUAUCCUUUUCUAACAAGUUUGCCUUAAAUAUGGAGAACACUGGAGAUGCUUUCUGAAAUGCACAUAUUUAAUCUCCCCAGGGAAGCAGUUCUGUGACCGGAAGGUCGUCAGUUCGAUCCCCCUGAGCUGCCAUGACUGAAGUGUCCUUGUGCAAGGCACCCAACCCCAAA